CUCUCCCUCCCUCCUCCCUCCCUCUCUCUCUCUCUCUAGCUAUGUGUACACAUUAAUCUCUGGGGCUGUUGGCACACUGCCAGUAUAUGUGUUGUCUUGCAUCCUUUGCAUAUAGUAGAAUCCUUGAGCUAUUGCAGACGCAACCAACUGCUCCAUAUUUGGCUUAUGUUACACACACACACACACACACUUGCAGAGAGCUGCUGGAGGAGAGAGAGAGAGACAGAGACAGAGAGCAAGAGCGCUGUCUGCAGACAGACAUUACUACAGAACUACAGCUCGACUUCCUUCAGCAAAGACUCCUGCCUUUCCUUAUUUCUGCUCACAAACCAGCAAAGGCCUCUUCGAUACUGUGGUCCCAACUGAGGCUGAACCCUCUGACCUUACCAUCUGUAUAGCCUAGUGUUGCAGCCGCUAUCCACUGGGCCAUUGAUGCAGCUUCCAACAGCAGCUCAGAGCUGUGUCACCUUCCUAAACAAGCGGACAGGGCCUUGGUUAACAACUGAUCCAAAGGGUGUCACCUCUGACAGCAGCCUGGUGAGAAUUAUCAGAUGAUCAUGUCUCAUCAUUUCAAAUAAAGAACAAGAAAAAUGAAACACCAGUGACGUACUCUUAAGCAACAUGAUGAAUUUCUGAACGCAGCUGGGAGAGAGAAAUCGCUGAGUGGAAGUGAACCACUUCCUCAGUAGAAUGAAGAAAUCAGAUGAUGAGUCAAAGCCCUGCCAUCUAG